UACGUAGGGGGCAAGCGUUGUCCGGAUUCAUUGGGCGUAAAGAGCGUGUAGGCGGCCAGGUAGGUCGGUUGUGAAAACUGGAGGCUCAACCUUCAGACGUCGACCGAAACCAUCUGGCUAGAGUCCGGGAGAGGAGAGUGGAAUUCCUGGUGUAGCGGUGAAAUGCGUAGAUAUCAGGAGGAACACCGGCGGCGAAGGCGGCCCUCUGGAUCGUUGCUGACGCUGAGACGCGAAAGCGUGGGGAGCAAACAGG
rnacentral:rRNA from 1 species